CCUACGGGAGGCAGCAGUGGGGAAUAUUGGACAAUGGGCGCAAGCCUGAUCCAGCCAUACCGCGUGUGUGAAGAAGGCCUUUUGGUUGUAAAGCACUUUAAGCGAGGAGGAGGCUCUUGAGGAUAAUACCCUUGAUGAGUGGACGUUACUCGCAGAAUAAGCACCGGCUAACUCUGUGCCAGCAGCCGCGGUAAUACAGAGGGUGCGAGCGUUAAUCGGAAUUACUGGGCGUAAAGCGCGCGUAGGCGGCUUGUUAAGUCGGAUGUGAAAUCCCCGGGCUCAACCUGGGCACUGCAUUCGAUACUGGCAAGCUAGAGUAUGGGAGAGGAAGGUAGAAUUCCAGGUGUAGCGGUGAAAUGCGUAGAGAUCUGGAGGAAUACCGAUGGCGAAGGCAGCCUUCUGGCCUAAUACUGACGCUGAGUGNGAAGANAUGGAGACAACAGAUAGAUACCUACGUAGUCAUGCGUAACGAUGUCAACUAGCCGUCGGGUACCGUUGUAGUCGUUUAGUUGGUCGCG
rnacentral:rRNA from 1 species